CUCUCGUCUCCGUCUGUCCGUAAUGGAUACUGGGUCACGGAUUGGAGGAGUGCGCGUGGUGGUGGUGGUGGUGCGGGGGGUCUCACGGUGACAAACGCAGAAGCCGUUUUUUUUUUUUUUUUUUUUAGAAGGGGAGUGCAGAAGGAGGUGGGAAAGUGGCACAGGAGCGACACUGUUGCAUGUUUUUCCUCAUUGGAUAGAGGCUGAACGAUGGGCCAGAGGGGACUGUCCGACUUCUUCCACAAUUCGCCUCCCCCGCCCCCCUCCUCCCCCAAAGGGAUAUUCUUACUCAAUUUGGGAUGCGUGCAACACCAAGUGAUCACACAUAUUACUUGGGCGGCGGUGCUGCUGGAGCUGGCUUUUGGCUGCGAUGGACGGCGAAGUUUCACUUGCAGGUCUCGUGCAGGCGGACACGCGGCCAUCCAGACUAUCGGUGCCUUUUGCGCGCGUGUUGCGUGGGGCCCUCCGGUUGACUGCGGCGAUGGCGACACCUGUCCCGGACACAGGACCCUAACGGAUACCGGUUUAUGUACAGAAUCUCACUGGAGGAGCCAGGAAAUGCUGAAGUUUGAUCUCAAAAGUUUGGAAUGA
rnacentral:lncRNA from 1 species